UACGUAGGUGGCAAGCGUUGUCCGGAAUUAUUGGGCGUAAAGAGCUCGUAGGCGGCUUGUCACGUCGGCUGUGAAAACCCGGGGCUCAACCCCGGGCCUGCAGUCGAUACGGGCAGGCUAGAGUCCGGCAGGGGAGACUGGAAUUCCUGGUGUAGCGGUGAAAUGCGCAGAUAUCAGGAGGAACACCGGUGGCGAAGGCGGGUCUCUGGGCCGGAACUGACGCUGAGGAGCGAAAGCGUGGGGAGCGAACAGG
rnacentral:rRNA from 1 species